rnacentral:rRNA from 1 species
AUGAACGCUGGCGGCGUGCCUAAUACAUGCAAGUCGAGCGAACAGACGAGGAGCUUACUCCUCUGACGUUAGCGGCGGACGGGUGAGUAACACGUGGAUAACCUACCUAUAAGACUGGGAUAACUUCGGGAAACCGGAGCUAAUACCGGAUAACAUGUUGAACCGCAUGGUUCAACAGUGAAAGACGGUCUUGCUGUCACUUAUAGAUGGAUCCGCGUCGCAUUAGCUAGUUGGUAAGGUAACGGCUUACCAAGGCAACGAUGCGUAGCCGACCUGAGAGGGUGAUCGGCCACACUGGAACUGAGACACGGUCCAGACUCCUACGGGAGGCAGCAGUAGGGAAUCUUCCGCAAUGGGCGAAAGCCUGACGGAGCAACGCCGCGUGAGUGAAGAAGGUCUUCGGAUCGUAAAACUCUGUUAUUAGGGAAGAACAAAUGUGUAAGUAACUAUGCACGUCUUGACGGCACCUAAUCAGAAAGCCACGGCUAACUACGUG